UACGUAGGCAGCAAGCGUUGUUCGGAGUUACUGGGCGUAAAGGGUGCGUAGGCGGCGCCGUAAGUCAGGUGUGAAAUUUCGGAGCUUAACUCCGAAACUGCAUUUGAUACUGCGGUGCUUGAGGACUGGAGAGGAGACUGGAAUUUACGGUGUAGCAGUGAAAUGCGUAGAGAUCGUAAGGAAGACCAGUGGCGAAGGCGGGUCUCGUGGACAGUUCCUGACGCUGAGG
rnacentral:rRNA from 1 species